GUAUUGGGAAGGCAGAUAAAAUGCCAGGUCUGGACUGCCUCUGGGGAUAACCUCACCCUGUGGGAUGUGAAUGAAUAGCAUCUUGCCUGGUAAAUCCACAGGAAUUGAUAAGGCGGGCGCAGUUCUCCCAAACAGGCCUUUUCUCUUUAAGCUCUAGCUGUGGUUUCUGCAGCAAUUUUGUUUUUGCCUUGAAAGAGGUGCUCUGGAUUAUCAGACCUCCAUGUAUGACAAUUUGUACCUGCAUGGAAUUGAAGACUCGGAGGCUGAAGAAUAAUGUGAUGUGUUACCCAAGAUGGUGUGAACAGAGCUUCAAGCCAAUGGAGAAGACUAGGCCUAAAUAGCUGACCUGGUGAAGUGACACAUAAAGCCACACCUGGAGUGCCACCUCCUCAGCAGUCUUUCUCAGUGCCAAUGCAUUUAUGGCUGGUUCAGCGGAUUCCUACACAAGCAGGCCGUCUGACUCCGAUGUCUCUUUGGAAGAGGACCGGGAAGCAAUUCGACAGGAGAGAGAACAGCAAGCAGCUAUCCAGCUUGAGAGAGCAAAGUCCAAACCUGUAGCAUUUGCCGUGAAGACAAAUGUGAGCUACUGCGGCGCCCUGGACGAGGAUGUGCCUGUUCCAAGCACAGCUAUUUCCUUUGAUGCUAAAGACUUUCUACAUAUUAAAGAGAAAUAUAACAAUGAUUGGUGGAUAGGAAGGCUAGUGAAAGAGGGCUGUGAAAUUGGCUUCAUUCCAAGCCCACUCAGAUUGGAGAACAUACGGAUUCAGCAAGAACAAAAAAGAGGACGUUUUCAUGGAGGGAAAUCAAGUGGAAAUUCUUCUUCAAGUCUUGGAGAAAUGGUAUCUGGGACAUUUCGAGCAACUCCCACAUCAACAGCAAAACAGAAGCAAAAAGUGACGGAGCACAUUCCUCCUUAUGAUGUUGUGCCGUCAAUGCGUCCGGUGGUGUUAGUGGGGCCGUCACUGAAAGGUUACGAGGUAACAGACAUGAUGCAGAAAGCCCUCUUUGAUUUCCUGAAGCACAGGUUUGAUGGGAGGAUAUCAAUAACGAGAGUGACAGCUGACAUUUCUCUUGCUAAGAGGUCUGUCCUAAAUAAUCCCAGCAAGAGAGCAAUAAUUGAACGUUCGAACACCCGGUCCAGCUUAGGUAAGAUGUUCAAAUGUGGUACUUCUUCAAGCUGUGCUUACAGACCGGGCUGACACAUGGUGCAUUUGUGAAUGUCUUUUUCAAUUUGUUCCCCAUUCUGAAUGGAGGAGCACUGAGUACCUAAAGAGAAUGGUAGCUAUGGACAAGAAGGCAGCAGAGUCUUGCAGUAGCCAGAGCCUGCUGUCUCUCAGCCUUAGUCAAUUAGCUAAUUAGUAGUCUGGUGGAAAGAAUCCUCAAUGGGCUCUCCUAGUCUUUUCCUGCCUAACUAUGUGAAACCAGUCAUCUCCGCUUUGCUCAGCUUCUCAACGAGGCUAAUGAUAUCUGUCAUACCUGAGUCACAGCUGACAUGAAAGGAAACGAGGUGUUCAGCCUUCUGAGAUCUUUAGAAGGAAAGCUAGAUAACAGUGUUCUUGGUGUUGCGAAUGGCAGUGACCAUUAGUAACAUGCAGGGACUUAAAACAUGUCUUUCCUGGGGUACCAGUUGGAAAGCAUCCUAAAAUUCCCCAUGAUGGAGAAGAAUAAAAGGCUGUAAGUGAGUAGCUCCAUCAAGCCAUAGGUGAGCAGGGCUGUGGAGGAUGGAAUCACCACCCACAGAAGCGAGUCCAUAGUGCUGGUGAAUUACAUCGUUCAUCUGGAAAGCCUGUUCAUGGUCUCCACAAUUGCCAAGGGUGGUGUAGUCGACUCAUGACUUCCUAGGAUUCUCUUUACAUUCAUAUUCUGAGGGCAACUUGUUUUAACUAGGAAGGAUAAAUAGGGCUCUUCUAUGCCUUACAUUUUUUAAACUGUUGAAGUUAGCUCUAUAGAUAAUAGAAAACUAAACAAAAUUAAGAUCUCCAAGACAGAGUGCAUGCCCUAACAUCACAUUAAGAACCCACUGACCUUGAGCCAAAGAUUGUACAAUUUGUAAAGAAGGUACAAAAUAUUAUCUGUGUGUUCCUGACAUGGGAUUGGCGUGUGAUAAUUGCUAAUAAAUGUUGGAUGGUUGCUUUGUGAAGGAAUACUAAACGUACCAAAUAGAGUAGUGGUCAGUGCUUGUGAGGGGAAGAUCCCAGCGAUUAGUGGUCCCUUCUUUAGUCUUGUAUUUAGAGCCUUCCACAUGCAGAGGGAAACAUGCUCAAAGGCACAGUAUUUUGACCUUGAAGAGGUAAAAUAGCAGUGUUGAUGGUGAAUUCUAUUAGGUAAUGACUAAAGUUAAAUAUCAUGGGUGACAAGGACAUUAAGUUAGGUUGAAGAUUUCUCAAACAAGCAUCAAUUCUCUGCUCUCCUGUUUUCUACCCAUUUUGUAACUCCUUAUAGUGUCUUUGGCUUUUAACUACUCCUUCUUCUAAUGUAUGGUGAGAGGCUAAAAGAUAAUUAAAAGCUUAAGCCAGGUUGUCUGACUCCUUUAACCAUUGACACCUGCCAAGGGCUUCACGCGUAUUCACUGAAGUCAUUCCUUACAAUCCAGUCACCUGCUGUCAGAGUCAGUGGGGUGGAUGGGGGACAUGUUAGUGUAAACAAGAAGAAACAAAGUAUAUCUCAGCUCAUGGUUUUUACCUUUACUCUGUAAAGUCAUAUACUCACAACCAUUGGAGUUAAUUUCAUGGCAAUCUAUUAAUUUUAUAAUAACCACAAUGUGAUCCAUUUGUGUGCUUGUUAAUGCACAUCUGUAGAUUCCUUCAUCAAAUGUUUAUUGAACACUUGUUAUGUGCCAUGCAUUAUGCUAGACUUAGGAAAUGCAGACAUAACCCACACACAGUAUCUUACCCAUGGGCAAAGAGACAGAAGGGACAGAUGGUUAGAAUACCUGUGACAGUGGAAUUAUGAACAAAGAGCUGGGGUAUAAAGAAGAGUAGGGGUUAAGAGAUGUGUGAGAAGACUUCUCAGAAGUUAUAUUUGAGCUGGUUCUUCAAGGCAGGCAAGAAUGUACAAAGACAUUGACAUGCAAACAAAAAUGUGUUGUUGAGAAACAAGUAGAUUUGUGUAUAGCAUGCUUAGAACAGGGAAGUUGGGGAUGUGAUUUGAGAGGAACAGAAGAGAUUGAAAAAGAUCAAGGCCAAUGUGUUGGGGUUCUAAUGUGCCUUGCUAAAGAGAUCUCCAAAAUAGAUCCCAAGCAAUGUUAAUUUUACAACAUAGUAAUAGUUGUUUCAUUCAGAAUGUUUUCCAUUGUCAAAUAAAUUUGGAAAUUAUGAAUUAAACUGACAGGUUUCUUCUCUGCAAGACUUCUUUGAGACUUAAAGAUGUGAAGGGUAAUGCAAGUUUGAAAUUCUAAAGAGAAGCUAUUAUAGUAUGUAAAUAUCCCUUACACAAAACCCCCUUCUUCCCAUAGGAUAUUUUAUGAGAUUAUUGUUCCAGAGUACUCACUGUGGGAAAUGUUGCUUUGGGCCCUGGGGAGCCAUUGAAGUGUUUUAAGCAUGGGAGAAAUAUGAACAGGUUUGGGUAUAAGGAAUAUCAUUUGUGACAGAGAUCCUGGAGAGAGGUGGGCCCAAAUCAGUCAUGAUCAGUUUAUAGAAGUGUUCAUCGAGGUCCUCCAGCAUCAUAGUCCAUGACUCCCCAGAGCUCCAUUUGACUGGAAUAGGAUUAUGAGGAAAACUUCAUUGGAACCCCUCUGAGAAUCAUUCCGGGUAGCCAAGACUUUUUGAUUUGGCUGAGAUAUUUUUCUUUAAAAAAAAAAUGAGCUAUAUAGAUAAAUAUGCCUCACAGAUAAAAUGUAUUUAUUACAUUCUGUAUACAUAUUAUCCAAACAUUGGGCUCACCCCAGUAUUUAAUGUGGCCUUCUCCAGCAUCCCUCCUGGCUUGUUCUGCCCAAGCACCUCUCUUCUUCUGCCCAAGUGCCUGUUGCCUAAGAGUUUUGUGUUGGUUAAGCAGUAGGUAUGGCUGCCCUUGCUCCUGGCAGAAACCACACUUAACCUCAUUGCUAGUGCAGAGUAAAUAAGGCCCAGGUAUUUCUGAGUCAUUUACACAGAAACUCAGAGUGCCUUGAGGGUUAUUUGUACCAGGGCAGUCCAGUUCGCGUCAAUGUCUUUUUGCUGCUUCCGAAAAUAUUAUAUUCAUAUUUGAAGCUUAAGAAAAUAUAGGCUUGCUCACAUGUAGUCCUGGCCAGAAGCUCCCAUAAGCCAGUGACAGUUUAAUGAAAACAGCAAAUGGAAAACAUACCCUGACAUCCUGAGGCUGAAAUUUACUACAGUAAAAAUUGACUUUAUUUUCCAAACUUCCUUCUGAAGAAACAUUUCUUUUAAAACUGUUUCUGACAUGUGAGAAAAAGGGGGACAAAUAUGCUACAUUACUAACAAAUGUAGAAUAUGGUUUCAGAAGAAUUUGACCAAUAAGCCCACUUUGUUUUCAUUAAUAUCCUGGAAGCUAGUCACCUUUCCAAGCAAUGUGAAGUCUUUCAGGCCAUUGGUAUUAGAUAACAUGAAAAGUGAUAUGUUGACUCUUCAAAUUCAUCUUUUCAAUGAGGAUAGAGCAACAUUACCUUUUCCCUAGGCCAUCUUUAGGAUCAUUUAAGGCCAGGUACAGUGGCUCACACCUGUGAUGUCAACACUUCAGGAGGCCAAGGCAGGAGGAUUGCUUGGACUUCGGAGUUCAAGACCAGCCUGGGAAACUUAGUGAGACCUUGUAUCUACAAAAAAUAAAAAAUUUAGCCAGGCACAGUGAUGUGCACCUGUAGUCCCAGCUACUCGGCAAGCUGAGGUGGGAGGAUCACUUGAGCCCAGAAGGUUGAGGUUGCAGUGAGCCGUGAUUGUACCACUGCACUACAGCAUGGGCCACAGAGUGAGACCCUGUCUCUAAAAAUUAAUAAUAAUAAUUUAGAUUAGAUAGUUUUGUGUACUCUAUGUACUUUGGACCAGAUUACAGCAUUGUUUGGUCAC
rnacentral:sRNA from 1 species